rnacentral:rRNA from 1 species
CCUACGGGGGGCUGCAGUCGAGAAUCUUCCGCAAUGGGCGCAAGCCUGACGGAGCGACGCCGCGUGGAGGACGAAGGCCUUCGGGUUGUAAACUCCUGUCACGAGUUAAGAAGGUGCUGCUGCGAACAGCGGUAGUAUUUGACGUAAGCUCGAGAGGAAGCACUGGCUAACUCUGUGCCAGCAGCCGCGGUAAUACAGAGAGUGCAAACGUUGUUCGGAAUUACUGGGCUUAAAGCGCACGUAGGCGGCGUCGCAAGUGUCGGGUGAAAUCCCACGGCUCACCCGUGGAACUGCCCGGCAGACUGCGAUGCUCGAGUGUGGUAGGGGAGAGCGGAACUCCUGGUGGAGCGGUGAAAUGCGUAGAUAUCAGGAGGAACACCGGUGGCGAAGGCGGCUCUCUGGUCCACAACUGACGCUGAGGUGCGAAAGCUAGGGGAGCAAACGGGAUUAGAUACCCUUGUAGUC